CCGCGUGAGGGAUGACGGCCUUCGGGUUGUAAACCUCUUUUAGUAGGGAAGAAGCGAAAGUGACGGUACCUGCAGAAAAAGCACCGGCUAACUACGUGCCAGCAGCCGCGGUAAUACGUAGGGUGCAAGCGUUGUCCGGAAUUAUUGGGCGUAAAGAGCUCGUACGCGGUUUGUCGCGUCUGCUGUGAAAUCCCGAGGCUCAACCUCGGGCUUGCAGUGGGUACGGGCAGACUAGAGUGCGGUAGGGGAGAUUGGAAUUCCUGGUGUAACGGUGGAAUGCCCAGAUAUCAGGAGGAACACCGAUGGCGAAGGCGGAUCUCUGGGCCGUAACUGACGCUGAGGAGCGAAAGCAUGGGGAGCGAACAGGAUUAGAUACCCUGGUAGUCCAUGCCGUAAACGGUGGGCGCUAGAUGUAGGGACCUUUCCACGGUUUCUGUGUCGUACCUAAAGCAUUAAGCGCCCCGCCUGGGGAGUACGGCCGCAAGGCUAAAACUCAGAGGAAUUGACGGGGGCCCGCACAAGCGGCGGAGCAUGCGGAUUAAUUCGAUGCAACGCGAAGAACCUUACCAAGGCUUGACAUACACCGGAGACGGCCAGAGAUG
rnacentral:rRNA from 1 species